rnacentral:rRNA from 1 species
UUGACCUCGGAUCAGGUAGGGAUACCCGCUGAACUUAAGCAUAUCAAUAAGCGGAGGAAAAGAAACCAACAGGGAUUGCCUCAAUAACGGCGAGUGAAGCGGCAACAGCUCAAAUUUGAAAUCUGGCCUCUUGGCGUCCGAGU